rnacentral:piRNA from 1 species
UUGGUUUUAAGAGAUGAUUUUGGAAGAGA